CUUCUAGUCACUAUCCUCAACAGGACUUUCAUGAAGGCUUCCCUCCUUGGGGGUUAAGAUCUGAAGUUAGUCAAGAAUGGACUUCAAGUGAUGGAUGAAUUUGCUGUGUCCCUGCUAAGUUGCAGUCUCGGGCGUCCGAUAGGGGAAGAUCAUGGUGGUGCUAUAGCUUCAGAAGUGCCCAGUGUCUCAUACUGAGAAAAGCAGACCUGGGUGUUAAUGCAAUGCAAUGCAAUACAAAACAUGAG